AAGUCGUAACAAGGUAACCGUAGGUGAACCUGCGGUUGGAUCAUUAACAAAUGAAAAGGGGACUUCGGUCAACUUUAGUUUAGUUAGUCCGUUCGUUCGUUCGUUCGGUCGUGCAAACAUUUUGUGAACUGUAAAGUCUCUGGCGGCCGGGUGCAACUGACCUUCAGGCCAUGUUGCAUCUGUCAACUUGAGAAAUCAGGUCGUGGACAAACCGCCAACCAUCUGUUUUGACUUGAUAAUGUGUUUUAUUUUUAUCUAACAUUUACUUGUAUAAAAUAUACAAACAACUUUUGGCAACGGAUCUCUUGGCUCUC
rnacentral:misc_RNA from 1 species